rnacentral:rRNA from 1 species
UUAAAACCCAAAGGAUUUGACGGUGUCCCAUCCAACUAGAGGAGCCUGUUCUAUAAUCGACAAUCCCCGAUAUACCUAACCCCGCUUUGCCUAUCAGCCUGUAUACCUCCGUCGCAAGCUUACCAUGUGAAUGCUAGUAGUAAGUUAAAUGGUCUUUACAUCAACACGUCAGGUCAAGGUGCAGCUCAUGGCAGGGAAAGCAAUGGGCUACAAUUUCUAACAUAGAACAUACGAAAUGCUUCAUGAAACACAGCCACGAAGGCGGAUUUAGCAGUAAAAAGAAAAUAACGUGUUCUCUUUAACAAGGCCCUGGGACGUGUACACACCGCCCGUCACCCUCUUCGAUAUCAACCCCCAGUUUAUUACUCAUUCCUUUACAUUAGAAGAGGUAAGUGUAACAUGGUAAGUAUACUGGAAGUGUACUUG